UACGGGGGGGGCGAGCGUUGUUCGGAAUCACUGGGCGUAAAGGGCGCGUAGGCGGCCCGCACAAGUCUGCGGUGAAAACCUCCGGCUUAACCGGGGGCCGGCCGUGGAAACUGUCGGGCUGGAGGCUGGGAGAGGGCAGCGGAAUUCCCGGUGUAGCGGUGAAAUGCGUAGAUAUCGGAAGGAACACCUGUGGCGAAAGCGGCUCACUGGACCAUAACUGACGCUGAGGCGCGAAAGCUAGGGGAGCAAACAGG
rnacentral:rRNA from 1 species